UUCAUCCCACAAUGCAUUACGAAUUUCAAGAUGGCGUCGCCCUAUGUGAGCACGUUGUUCGGCCAGUCGGUUAAAAGUGUGCUCGACGGGUGGACAGCACUUCAGCUGGCUGUAAGUCAUGGGUUUGGUGGACCUGACAGUCAGGAAAAGGCAGAGUGGAUGGUUUAUGCAAUUGAAACAUGGUUUAAGGAAAAUGCAAAUAUACAGAGUGACGAGUUAGAGGACUUCUUGACAGAUGUGAUGAAUGCUGAGUUUGAUAUGGUCAUAGACGACAACAGCUUACCACAGGUGGCUCAGAUGAUCUGCAAGUACUAUCGACUAUGCAGGGAGGGACUGGAGGCUGAGGUGCGUCAGAGUAUAGCCAGCCAGCCCAAAGCCGCCUUACAAGGCUGCACCCAGGGAGACAGCAACCAGGAGGUGGAUGGGGAGGAGGCAGAGAAUGGUGAGGCGAUGGCAUGCUGCAGUGGUGGUAAUGCUGUGAGGGCUGCAGGGUCUCAGUCGGCCCCUGCACACCCUGUACAACCUGCACAGCAGAAUAACACAGAUGGGGAAGAUAUGGAGGUGGAGGAUGGCUGGGAGGUGGUCAAGAGGGGCAGGAAGAAAUAACCCAAGCCACCAUCACAUCACACAACACAAAUCAUCUCCCAUCCCUCGGGAAACCAUCCUCUGGUCCAGACUCUGGAAUCCACUCCGAACUCCUCUCGGGGGAAAGCGGCGCUUCCGUUCAAGCAUCCAGAGACUCAUAACUAGAACACUCAUUUCACUUGCAGGAUCCUUUCUGGUCCACAAGAAAAUUAAUCACUUUCUUUAAAAUACAUACCACUGCUGAAAUAGACGAUAGAUAAAAGUUUAUUCAGUUUGGCCAGUGUAACCCCCACUUAAAGGGUUGUAGCCCCAGUAUAUGAAGGGCACAUUCAAAAGCUGUUAUGUAUGUGAAGCCAGUCAUAAAUGCACUGGGGCAGUGGGGUAGCCUAGUGGUUAAAGUGUUUGCUCAUCAUGCAGAAGACCUGGAUUCGAAAGAAGAAAAAUAAAACAAAUUAGAGGGUAAAUGGAACUGAAAAAAAUGAAGUAAUACCCGAUUUAUGUUGCAGGACCAAGAGUUUGUUGGUGUGAACAGUCUUUUUAUGGGGAUGCUUCUAAAUUGUUGGGGUUGGAUGUAUUGACUUCCUACAAGCCUAUUGGAUAGGGAGAUGUCAAGAAAAUAAGAAAAAUGAAUGUUUCGGUUCAUCUGAUACAGUAUUUUGUAGACAGAGUGUAGAGGAAGAUCACUUGUGAUAUUUCGCCGGUCUAGGUUGAGGAUGAGUGGCACAAGUUUAUCACAACCACAUACAUGAGAGAAAAAACACACCAUGGUGUUGAUCAUGAUUUUGUCAUCACUAUUUGGCUGAAAUAAUGUCGAUGCAAGGUAAAAUCUUCACUCACUUGGUUGUGAUUCAAUCCAACAUAUGACCGGUAUGAGACUGGUAGUCUUUCAUGUCCUGUUCGUUCAGGGAAAUAGUAUUAUCAGCUACAUCCAGAAAAUACUCGUCUCUUGCAAAAACUUUGACAAAUCUCAGCAGUCACCCUUCUUUUACUUGCUGGCAUUGAAUAACAUGAAAUUAAGAAACUGACUGGCCCCCCAAAAUCCCAGUUUUUCAUGUCUUUCAAUGCCACGUGAUCGGCUAAAAAAUGUCAGUAAUUAUUCAUAAUUUAUAGUUGCUUUCAGCACUGCUGAGAUUGAGUGCAUAGCAAUUAUCACACAAAAAAGCACCAAUAGAAACAAGUUGGGGAAUAAAGAUAUUGUAUAUUAACAAGUGUUCCAGCAUUUACUGAAGGAAAUACAAAUAAAACGACUUCCUAUUGAAAAGAACCUGUAUUUCAAACCAAUCAAGAAUAAAAUGAUUUUAUCUAGAA